rnacentral:rRNA from 1 species
UACGAAGGGGGCUAGCGUUGCUCGGAAUGACUGGGCGUAAAGGGCGCGUAGGCGGAUGGCACAGUCAGAUGUGAAAUUCCCGGGCUUAACCUGGGGGCUGCAUUUGAUACGUGUUGUCUGGAGUGAGGAAGAGGGUCGUGGAAUUCCCAGUGUAGAGGUGAAAUGCGUAGAUAUCGGGAGGAACACCUGUGGCGAAAGCGGCGCACUGGACCAUAACUGACGCUGAGGCGCGAAAGCUAGGGGAGCAAACAGG